AACUAUUGUAUUUAGUUGCAAUGGACUGUUGAAUACAAACAAGGAAUAAAACAUACAUUUGGGUUUUAUAUAUAUUAAGAUCCUACAUCUUAAUAAUAUUAUCAUUAAUAUCUAAAACCUGUUACAGAAUCCCAGAAUGGCUGAGGUUGGAAGGGACAUCUGAAGAUCGUCUAGUCCAACCCUCUGAGUGGGAUCACCAAAGCACAUUGUGCAGGAUGGCAUCCAGGAGGAUUUUGAAUACCUCCAGAGAAGGAGACUCCGCAGUCUCUCUGAGCAACCUGUUUCAGUGACCUGUCACCCUCACAGUAAAGAAGUGUCCCAUCAUAUUCAUCUGGAAUUUCCUGUGCUUCAGUUGUUUUCCAGUUGCCUCUUGUCUUGUCACUGGAAACAACUGAAAAGAGACUGGCUCUAUCUUCUUGACACCCCCCUACCUCAAAGCUCCAGGUGACCUAUAGUACUCCUAACGUGCCAACUGAUGCCUAGUAGCUGACCUUGUGGCUUGCUGAACAUUCCUGGAUUUAUCUGGAGAAGAAUCAUGAUCAGAUUCCCAGUGGUGAAGAGUAUGCCUUCAUUCAACAAUUUAGCUUCCCAAGAAAAAUACACCUGCAGCUAUGAGGAGCCUUGCUCGAGCAUGCAAGCCUUCUGUUUCAUGAACAACAUUAGAGGGCACUUCUGCAUUGUGGUCGGCUUAAGCCAAAGAAAGGCAGAAGCCUGACCUUACCAGCUGAAUUGUUCUUGAAUUCAGAGGCAACGUGAAAUCUGUUUCAGCUUCACCCAGAUUAAGAACUUAUUCUGUAGACAACCUCUUUGAUCUCAUUAAAGCUGCUGCUGGACCUGCUGUGAGGGAAGCUGGGGACUCAUUCUUUAUGAGGAGGUGAGUGGCCAGGGCAGUGAGGCUGAGAUGUGGGCUCCCCUCCUGCCCCACAUUCCCAUGUUCCUGCAUCCAAGAAACCCUGUCCCUGUGAGCUCCCACAUGGUUCUAGGGGUGCUGAAUCAGAGGCAGCUGUGAGAGCUGUAUUGCAGGAUGCAACAGGCAUUACAGUUUUGACAGCUUUACUUUUUUUUUUUUUUUUUUUAAUUUAUUUUUUUAGUCUUUCUGCAUGUGAUGCUCUUGUAUCUUCUGUUGACAAAGGCACGUGAUUAGUUUAUAAUCUCUGUUUUCACUGAAAGAAAAACAAACAGCUUUCUAACCUGUGUAAUUGUAGACAAAAGCUUGAAAAGGAGAUUCGAAAAGCUUCAAUAUCAGAAGGUCAUUGGGAGGUAAAGUAAAAUCUCAAGGUUUAUUUGUUUAUUUAUUUUAUAAAUGCCAUAAUUUUUGAACUAGUUUCUUUAUUUUAAGGGUGCUGACUCACAUUUUAAGAAGGUUUCAGGUUAGCAGUGCAGACAUAAGCAAACAAAAAUCAUCAAUGUCAUUAAAUAGCUCUACUUUAUCCAAAAUCCUCUAAGCAGCCAUUUUAAUAUGUGCUUUUCUUCAAUGAAAUGAUCUCUUCAAAAGACACACAACAUUAUCAGCGCAUGCAGAGAGAGCUCAUUGGGCUUAUUUUCCUGUUUACUGUUCUCCAAGGCCUGGCCUAUGAAGUUGAUCUUCUGAACCCAGACUCGCUGAAAUUUGAUUACAAUUUAUCCUAAGCCUCUCCCCAUUAUGAGGUAGAAUUUCACAAUAUGCCUCAAGAGCAAUCUUCAAAGUCUGCUAUUUUAGAGACUAUCCAGACAAA
rnacentral:lncRNA from 1 species